GAGACAUGAUCCCCUAGAUUUUAACUUGUUUCUGUGUCUCUUUGUUUUUCAUCUUCAUUACCCCUUGGUCAGGUUUGAGCUCAGCUCAUAGGCUGGUUCCUACAGUGAAGAAAAAUGGUUAAGAGAAACAACUAAGAAAUUGCUGUGAUUAUUUUGGUUAAGAGUUUUGUGUGGUUAAUCCAAGAAAAUCAACAGCUUGUUCAUGAAUACAGUAGCAGCCUCUCUGUGGCCCUUUUACAGGGAAAUAUCCUUUCUGGUUCUCCUUUAGGUGAACAGCAGGUGUUGGGUUGGUUCUGACUUUUUUCCUAGAAAGUUCUACCCUCUUCCAUGUCCAGAUGUCAAACUAUUUGGGGAACAAUUCUCUGAAGCAUUCGUUGGUUGAGUGGGAAGAAAUCUUCAUUGAAGGAUGGAGGACAUGCAACCUAUGGUGGGUGGAGUUGGAUGACACGUCAAAGACAUUAUGAGGAAGAAGAUGAAACUCAAAGCACAGCUCCUUCCUCAAUACUCCAGCAGCGCCCUCCAUGAUGUUUACAAAGUGGCGUCGAGGUCUGGGCUGUGGUGGUGAGUCCUGCCAGAGACGACCGGGGACACAGCAUUUGUGGGAAUUCUGUGACUCAAGAGGCGAAAGAUGUGGAAAAAGCUUCAUUCCUGGAAGCAAGUGUUACUUUGAUUCCAAAACCAAGGAAAGACUCAACCCAAAAAGAGAA